UUUCGCAAUGCCCGAAAGGGUGACGAAGCGACGCCGCGUGUGGGAAGAAGGCCUUCGGGUUGUAAACCACUGUCGGGAGUUAAGAAAUGUAAGGGUGCUAAUAGUAUCCUUACUUGACUAAGGCUCCGGAGGAAGCCACGGCUAACUCUGUGCCAGCAGCCGCGGUAAUACAGAGGCGGCAAGCGUUGUUCGGAAUUAUUGGGCGUAAAGAGCACGUAGGCGGCCUUGUAAGUCAGUUGUGAAAGCCUUCUGCUUAACGGAAGAACAGCAUCUGAUACUGCAAGGCUAGAGUGCGGAAGGGGAGAGUGGAACUUCUGGUGGAGCGGUGAAAUGCGUAGAUAUCAGAAGGAACACCGGCGGCGAAGGCGACUCUCUGGUCCGUAACUGACGCUGAGUGUGCGAAAGCUAGGGGAGCAAACGGGUUUAGAUACCCCGGUAGUCCUAGCCGUAAACGAUGGGCACUAAGUAGAGGGGUUUUA
rnacentral:rRNA from 1 species